UACGGAGGGUGCAAGCGUUAUCCGGAUUCACUGGGUUUAAAGGGUGCGUAGGUGGAGUGGUAAGUCAGUGGUGAAAUCUCCAAGCUUAACUUGGAAACUGCCGUUGAUACUAUCAUUCUUGAAUAUCGUGGAGGUAAGCGGAAUAUGUCAUGUAGCGGUGAAAUGCUUAGAUAUGACAUAGAACACCGAUUGCGAAGGCAGCUUACUACACGAUCAUUGACACUGAGGCACGAAAGCGUGGGGAGCAAAACGG
rnacentral:rRNA from 1 species